rnacentral:rRNA from 1 species
UACGUAGGGUCCGAGCGUUGUCCGGAAUACUGGGCGUAAAGCGCGCGCAGGCGGCCCGCGAGGUGUCACGUGAAAGCCCCGGGCCUCGAACCUGGGAAUGGCGAUGGAUACUGGCUCGCUAGAGUGCGGUAGAGGAGAGUGGAAUUCCCGGUGUAGCAGUGAAAUGCGUAGAGAUCGGGAGGAACAUCAGUUGCGAAGGCGGCUCUCGUGGACCAGCACUGACACUGAGGCACGAAAGC